CCAUCAUGAGCAUGAUGAUCAUGAUGAUGAUCAUCAUCUUCAUGAUUUUGAAUUUCAUGAUCCUCGUUGACAUGAUUAUCAUCAUUGCCAUCAUCAUCAUCA
rnacentral:miRNA from 1 species